UAUGCCUCUUUUGAAAACCUCAGGAGCCUCCCCUGAACCUCUAUGCCUAUACUGAAUGCAAGCAACAACUCUAGGCCAGAGGGCUUAAUGGGCAGUGUUUCAGCCACUGCCAGGAUAGCAGGCAGAACGGCACCUGAGGGCACACACUGAACCCUGUUUUUGGAUGAUGCAAUUGAAGCAGAAGCUCAUCUCUUUCGCCGUAAAUGGAGAUUUGCUUUGGGGACUUUGGAGGAGCACAGAAAUAGACCUACAUACAUGAAAAUUUCUUCUUCAGAAGAGCAAUUUUAUAAGAAAGUGAGUAUUUUGUGCAGAACAAAUGUAUAACUAAUUUCAAAGUAUUUGUAAUGUAUUCUGUAUGUAAAUUCUGUAAUGUAUUCUGUAAAUAUUAGUUUCUGUGGUGUUAUACUUAGUUAUUAGUUGUUUUUUAAUUAUGCAUUUUCCUUUUUAUUUUUGUUUUAUUAAGAGAAAAGUUUAAUAUCUAGUCUGAAGGAUGUUAAUAUAUGUUAAUGUAAUGAACACUUAAACGCAUGAUACAUUGAGGACAAUUAAAAAUAAAUCCUUAACAGUUUUAUAAUGAGAAUGAUAGGUUAUACUGCUGUAUUGUUACCUUUUAAAAAUGUGUUUGAAAAUAAAGUUUUUUGUCCCAAAAAUAUUGUAAUAGGUUGCUGUCUUUACAUUUACCAUAUCAACACCAUAGUAAUAUAACACUACACUGAAGUUAACAAAUUACACUGAGGGAGUUAAUUCUUAACAAAUAAAAAAUAUUUAACACUUAUUAGAGUUUUAACUCCGUAUAGAGUCAAUGUGCCAACACUUUCAAAAGUGUUCAAUAAAAUCUUAUAGUUAUUCUGAGGUUCCAGAUUUUGCUGUGUGGUUGGAUUUAUAAAAUUAAUAUAAAUGUUUAAUAAAUCGUAGUAUUGUGUUGUGUUGUAUCACACAUUAUUAGUUGUUUGUCACACAACAUAUAGGCUAGACCUUUUUGCGGGUGGGUAAUAAUUUCCUUUUUUUACCAGCUUUACGACCAGAAGUAUAUUUCAUAUCUGUAGGAAACACUGUCCUGGGAAACUUUACUGAUGCUUACCAGUGACACUCCUAUCUAGUUCACUCUGUACUCAAGCAUAAACACUCAGCAUAUAUCCUGAGACACAGAGACUGGUUCCCAGCCACAGUGAGACUGAUGCCAAAAGACAUAACAGCAGGAAAAAUAUGUCUGUAAAAUAACAAGCAUUUUGUACAGUAUCCCUGUCAUAGACUUACUGCAAACGUACUUCAUCUUUAUAAUCUUUAUUUCUGUCAUAUAGAAGGUGUGCAAUAUUGUUAUAUAGUAAUUAUAUUACAGCACAGUCUAUGUGAAGUUUAUUUAUUAG